GACGAACGCUGGCGGCGUGCUUAACACAUGCAAGUCGAACGGUGAAGCGCCUUCCUUUUUGGUGGGUGUGGAUGAGUGGCGAACGGGUGAGUAACACGUGAGUAACCUGCCCCCUUCUUCUGGAUAACCGCAUGAAAGUGUGGCUAAUACGGGAUAUUCUGGGUCUGUCGCAUGAUGGGUCUGGGAAAGAUAUUGUUUCGGUGGGGGAUGGGCUCGCGGCCUAUCAGCUUGUUGGUGGGGUGAUGGCCUACCAAGGCGGUGACGGGUAGCCGGCCUGAGAGGGUGGACGGUCACACUGGGAAUGAGACACGGCCCAGACUCCUACGGGAGGCAGCAGUGGGGAAUAUUGCACAAUGGGCGCAAGCAUGAUGCAGCGACGCCGCGUGAGGGAUGGAGGCCUGCGGGUUGUGAACCUCUUUCGCCAGUGAAGCAGGCCUGCCUCGUUUGUGGGUGGGUUGACGGUAGCUGGAUAAGAAGCGCCGGCUAACUACGUG
rnacentral:rRNA from 1 species